rnacentral:tRNA from 1 species
CCCCACCUAGCUCAGCGGUAGAGCGUUCGGCUGUAGCCCGAAAGGUCCCUGGUUCAAAUCCGGGGGUGGGGA